rnacentral:misc_RNA from 1 species
GAAAAUUGAAUAUUGGCAAAACAGAAGUUAGAAUAGAAAGGCAAUCAAAUGUCAGAAAAUAAAGAAAAUCAUCAAAUCACGAAUUGACGAUUAGCAAAUCCAUACAGAAUCGUGGAUGCAUAGUGUACUUUCUUAUGGGCGUUUAGCAAUAUCACAUACCAUGAGAGAGUUGAGAGAACCAUGCACUAAAGUUUAAAACUAAAUUGAUAAAACUAUCUGAUAGAAUGGCAUUACACGCGAGAAACGAUUUCCUAUGUAGUACCUGCCAAUCCUUGAAAUCAAUUCU